AAGGUGAGAGACCAGGAGUACAGACAAACAUUCUCUUUAUUGAGCUACACAUGAAUUUUCCAUUAGUCAGAGAAAGAGAUUGGCAGUGUCUAAUAUAUCACAGAAACCUCACUGAUUGGUAAUAGAAAGGCUUAGAAAGACCUGGCGCUUUAUAUAUAUAUAUUUUUUUUAGUUUCCUCUUUAUUUAUUCAUUUUAUUUUAAACAGGUGUGACUGGUUUUCUUCAGCAAAGGUAACUCUUAAAAGUGAAACUGUGAAGACAUCUGAUUACUAAUCAAAGUAGAAAUGAUGAAGGAUUGGUCAUGAAAUCUGUGGCUUCAAUGUAAACACUACAUUCGAUUAUGUUUUUUUAUAGUUUUUGUGGUUUUUGUGUGUGUUUUUUAAAAUUUUUUAAAUCAUUUUCUUUCUUUCUUUUUUGGUUUUUUUUUUUUUGUUGUUUUUUAAAUUAUUUUUGCAGCACAAACAUCCCCACAUGAGAGAGAAAAAACAUUCACUAAAAGGAAGGAUCGGAGGAGGGAAAAAGCAGCACAAAAAGCAUUCACUGGAAAGAGUUAAAAAUUAAAAAAAACAAAACAAAAAAUACCCCAAACAAAACUAUCCUCCCCAAAGCCCACAAAUCAACCCCCAAAAUAAAUAAAGAAGAGGAAGCCUAUAUGCUUCUAAAUGUAAAGACUCAGCUAAAACCAGAUCUACAGCAUUCUACAGAAACACACAGCCACCAUUCCAUGUUCAGAACAUUAUACAUCGACUCAAUAAGGAAGGCUGUGUCUUAUACAAAGGCCAAAAGGUCAUGCUACCGAAGUUGCUUUGCUAUACAGGGUGAGAAGGUAUCAGUACAAGCCGCAGCCUCGGAGAUUGUUGGCAAUAAUGAUGUCAGUGACAGCGUCGAAUACCACCUGGAUGUUGUUCGUGUCUGUCGCGCAAGUCAUAUGACAGUAGAUCUCCUUGUUGGGGGAGCGGUUUUUGCUUUCAAAUUGUGCUUGGAUAUAUGCUGCCGCAUCUUCAUAAGUGUUUGGACCUGCAGACAGAAAAACAAACAGGAAAAGAAAGAGAAUCUCUGUUAGAGGCCUUUUGGGCAUAAGAAUGAAUACUCUGGAGGAGAAGUGUCGAGAGGAGGUUGUUGUAUUGUCCUCUUCAAGAUCAUCUAAGAGGGUCAACCUCUACAGAAGGCUUAAAGAGGCUAGUUGGUUUUUCUGUGCUUCUGUUUUACAGCAGAGAAUCAGGUUCCAGGUGCCCUCUCCUUCAUUCUAGCAGAUUCUACGGAUGAUUGCAGAUCUAGUGAGAUGGUAACAUCACAAGUAUAGUUUGAGCAACUCAAAGGGGGAAGAGAUUUCUCUGGGCUAGAUCCUCAGCUGACACAAGUCAGUUAGCUCUAUUAAUUUCAAGAGUAACACUCCUGUAUGUGAGCUGAGGAGUUUGCAUUCUUUUGUUGUUACUUACUUGACUCCAACACCUGAACAAACAGCUGGGGGGAAAAGACCUCUCUGUUAAAUAUUCAGCAGUGUUUCCCCUUCUCUCCCCUUAAUUUAAGGAUAUAGAAAGUUCCUACUACAACUCUCUCCAUCUCACGCAGGCCCCCAGAAAACCCAAGGAAGAUAUGGCUUGAUGCUGUUCAUGAGGUGAAAAGCAAGCAGAAAACAUAAAACUCAAAUAAGUCAACUUUGCAGAUUGUAUUUAUUCAUCACAAAGAAGCUCCAAAAGUAACAAUCUAUGUGUUUUGUCCUCCUCCUUCGAUGUUACUGUUAAAGGUAGUGUCUGAAGUGUAGGAUCAGUGCGGUGCUAGGCCAUGUAACUAUUGUGAUCUUAAUAAAAAGUGCUUUGUUGUAAUAUUUAUUUUAGCUCUUUGUCUGCAGGAAGAUCAGCAGUGCAACAGGCAUAUUUUGUUAACUUG